UCGAUUCCGGAGAGGGAGCCUGAGAAACGGCUACCACAUCCAAGGAAGGCAGCAGGCGCGCAAAUUACCCAAUCCCGACACGGGGAGGUAGUGACAAUAAAUAACAAUACGGGGCUCUUUCGGGUCUCGUAAUUGGAAUGAGUACAAUUUAAAUCCCUUAACGAGGAACAAUUGGAGGGCAAGUCUGGUGCCAGCAGCCGCGGUAAUUCCAGCUCCAAUAGCGUAUAUUAAAGUUGUUGCAGUUAAAAAGCUCGUAGUUGAAUUUCGGGAUUGACACAUCGGUCGUGCCUUAAGGGGUAUGAACUGGUGUAGUCAAUUUCUCACCUUCUGGAGAACCGCGAUGUCCUUAAUUGGGUGCCGCGAGGAACCAGGACCUUUACUUUGAAAAAAUUAGAGUGUUUAAAGCAGGCAUUUUGCUUGAAUACAUUAGCAUGGAAUAAUAAAAUAGGACGGCAUGAUUCUAUUUUGUUGGUUUCUAGGAUCACCGUAAUGAUUAAUAGGGAUAGUUGGGGGCAUUAGUAUUCAAUUGUCAGAGGUGAAAUUCUUGGAUUUAUUGAAGACUAACUACUGCGAAAGCAUUUGCCAAGGAUGUUUUCAUUAAUCAAGAACGAAAGUUAGGGGAUCGAAGACGAUCAGAUACCGUCGUAGUCUUAACCAUAAACUAUGCCGACUAGGAAUCAGACGAUGUUAAUUUUUUAAUGACUCGUUUGGCACUUACG
rnacentral:rRNA from 1 species